UACGAAGGGGGCUAGCGUUGCUCGGAAUCACUGGGCGUAAAGGGUGCGUAGGCGGGUCUUUAAGUCGGGGGUGAAAUCCUGGAGCUCAACUCCAGAACUGCCUUUGAUACUGGAGAGCUUGAGUCCGGGAGAGGUGAGUGGAACUCCGAGUGUAGAGGUGAAAUUCGUAGAUAUUCGGAAGAACACCAGUGGCGAAGGCGGCUCACUGGCCCGGUACUGACGCUGAUGUGCGAAAGCGUGGGGAGCAAACAGG
rnacentral:rRNA from 1 species